UACGUAGGGGGCAAGCGUUGUCCGGAUUAUUGGGCGUAAAGAGCGUGUAGGCGGCCAGGUAGGUCCGUUGUGAAAACUGGAGGCUUAACCUCCAGCUGUCGAUGGAAACCAUCUGGCUAGAGUCCGGAAGAGGAGAGUGGAAUUCCUGGUGUAGCGGUGAAAUGCGCAGAUAUCAGGAGGAACACCGGUGGCGAAGGCGGUCUCUGGGCAUUACCUGACGCUGAGGAGCGAAAGUGUGGGGAGCGAACAGG
rnacentral:rRNA from 1 species